CUGGAGCAGGUCCCAAGGGUAUGGCUGUUCGCCAUUUAAAGAGGUACGUGAGCUGGGUUUAGAACGUCGUGAGACAGUUCGGUCCCUAUCUGCCGUGGACGUUGGAGAUUUGAGGAAAGCUGCUCCUAGUACGAGAGGACCGGAGUGGACGAACCGCUGGUGUUCGGGUUGUGUCGCCAGACGCAUUGCCCGGUAGCUAUGUUCGGAUAGGAUAACCGCUGAAAGCAUCUAAGCGGGAAGCCCCUUCCAAGAUGAGAUCUCCCUGGACCCUUGAGGUCCCUGAAGAGCCGUUCAAGACCAGGACGUUGAUAGGUCGGGUGUGUAAGCGCUGCGAGGCGUUGAGCUAACCGAUACUAAUUGCUCGU
rnacentral:rRNA from 17 species